rnacentral:miRNA from 1 species
AUUCCAGUGAACAAGCAGUU